rnacentral:rRNA from 1 species
UCGAGAAUAUUUAGCAAUGGACGAAAGUCUGACUAUGCGACGCCGCGUGCAGGAUGAAGGUCUUCGGAUUGUAAACUGCUUUUGUUAGGGGAGAAACCUGUAUUGUUAACAGCAAUACAGCUGACGGUACCUGACGAAUAAGCCACGGCAAACUCUGUGCCAGCAGCCGCGGUAAUACAGAGGUGGCAAGCGUUACUCGGAAUUAUUGGGUGUAAAGGGCAGGUAGGUGGCCUAGUAAGUGAGGGGUGAAAUACUGCGGUUCAAUCGCAGAACAGCCUUUCAAACUGCAUGGCUUGAGAGAAAUAGAGGAAGAUGGAAUUCCCGGUGUAAGGGUGAAAUCUGUAGAUAUCGGGAAGAACACCAACGGCGAAGGCAAUCUUCUGGGUUUCUUCUGACACUGAACUGCGAAAGCUAGGGGAGCAAACAGA